GAGUCUUGGCUCCGGAGGCUGUAUAGGUUCAGGAAGCUGCAAGCUCAGUAGAGCCAGCCGGGAAGAAGACAACAGAGCUGGUGCUGGACCCUUUGAUCCCCACAAAGAAACCAAGCCAUGGCUGAAUGAAGGUGGACCUUUACCAAGGAGCUCAUGGCUUUAGCUGUGCCUUCUCCAGAUGUCUUCAGCUAAGGAGGAAUCGGAGAAACAGGGCAGCCCGCAGAGACCUGCUCCGAGGAAUAACAAGGCAUGAUGCAGAAGCAGUUUUCAGAGAGAGAGGAAAGGAUAAAGGAAUGAGGGCCCAGUUUCAUUUCUGAUGUGUUAAAAAGCUGGGCUCAGAAUCCUCCUAGAGUCAUAGGAAUGGGUACCCUGAAACAAACGUGCCUUUGAUACCCAGGCAUAACAGCAGCCAGCAGCUUCCCUCAGAUAACAUGAUUGAUGGACCCCCAGUUCUCAUCCUCCAAGCCUUGGACCAGAGCGGUUGCUUUAAACUGGGAAGACAUCACACUGAAUUAGCAGUAAAUGUAAUUAAGAGCUCUGACAGUCAACUUCCUGAAAGCCCUCCAACUGGAACACGGCUGGGCAAGAGUACCUGCUCUGCCCCUGAAUUAAGGCUUCUCCAGGGCUUGCCUACUUGUGUUUAUAUGAAACACAGUUCAUUUUAAUACCAACCCUGGUUAUAUGCCAGAAUAAAACCUAUGCAAAGAAACAUCCAUGACAUUGUAUGUUUUCUUCAAAAAUAAUGACAGGUUUUAUCUACUGCAUACCUGGGUAUCC